CAGCAUUACCGGACGGACCCCAAAGGCCCCAAACCCUACCCAUUCAAUUUCGCCGACCUCGAUCUGUAAUCUACAAUGCAAUCAACGUCCUUGUUGCUCAGCAGACUCUGGUUUCCCUAAACAUCGUUCUCUCAUUCUCUAUCGCGACAGGUUCUCUCGGCUCUCAGCUUCUUAAUCUCACAUGUUAGUUUCUCUAUCGCUCUUCCUUGUUUCCGAUGAGCAUAUAUGAUCAACCAGUUAUCUGCCUUUAGAUCUAGGGUUAUUCUGAAUAUUUGAUCGUUGUGAGAUUUGUGAUAUUCAUGAUUGUUUCUUGAACUGAUUGGAUUUUGCUUGGUCGGGCUUUAUCUGUUCGUGCGAUGGUGAUUUUGUUGAUUCUAUUUAUUGUUGUGUAUUUGUGAUAAUUCUGUGUCGAUGAUCCUUUAGGAGAAUGGUACCAAGAAAAUCCAUGAUUAGUUUUUUGAACUCUUAUCUAAUGCACACUGUUACAUAGUCAAUGGGAUUCUUGAGAUUUGUGGAACGGAUGAUUUGGGACUUCCAUGAUUUGUGCCAUAGAUCAAUAUCUUUUAUUAUUUUGGUUGGAAGAAUUUAAAGCACUUUCUGCUACCAUUUCUUUGGUAACCAUAAUGAUGUAGGAAACUGAGCUGCACAUGGUGUGCAUGAUAUAAACAUGUUUGUAAAUGAGGCUAGUGUCUGUAGAAUGACACAUAGAAUUAGAGGGCUUUUUUUGUUUAUGAGACAUAGUGAAUGAAAGCAUGAAACUGUGCCCAUGGGAUUCAGGAGAGAGUGUACUGUUAUUGAGAUGGGUAAAUUUGCUUUUCGGGAAACAUAUAGAAAUUUUUUUUUUUUUUGGGGUGAAAUGGAAUUUUGAGCUCAUAUUGAAUGGUCAUUUUUCUUUUAUAAAUGCAUGAUAAUGAUUUUCUCUGCCUUCAGUUAUGUUCCGUUUCAUCAUGUUCUUAAAUAAGGCUUUGUUUGUUUAUACUGAUCUCUCUUAUUCAAUAAAAGAACGUGGAAAAACUAUGUUAAUAUUAGGAUUGCCCUUCUUCCAACUUCCAGUGUACAAUGUCGGAAACCCCUUUUCGACUGCGGGAGAAGCUUCUUGAGAAGCAGAGAUAUUUCCAAAGCAUCCACAAACACACAUAUUUGAAAGGACCUUAUGAUAAGAUCACCUCUGUCGCAAUUCCUGUAGCUUUGGCAGCCAGCUCAAUAUACCUUAUUGGACGAGGGAUCUAUAACAUGUCUCAUGGGAUUGGGAAGAAAGAAUGAGGAGGUAUCUUGUUUAAUGAAUAAUGGGCGUCAUGUUGAUUUCUGCUCAUAUUUUAAAGGAUUAUUUGCUCUUGCACGGGGACUAGUUGUGUUUGAAGAGUUUCUUUUGUUUAGUGCCUCAAAUAAUUGCAUAGAUGAAGACUUCUAGCUACCAACGGAAGUUGACACUUCACUGUUGAUGGUUUAUAUUUUCCCAGUCAUUAAUGCUGCAUAAUUAAAUUGCAAGAUUGAUGCAUUUGCUUGUAUCCCCUUUUCAAUUAAAGUAUUUUGCUUGGUAUUGUGGGAGUUAAAACUGUAUAGCCUUGCUGUGCAGGCUAAUGCCGUUCAUGCUUCUAGUUGGUGUGACAUGGAGUGAAUGCUUUCAGUUUUUCUGGGCUCGAUGCAAUCCAAUAAGAGUUGAUGCAGUGGAUGACCAAUUCGAUCGACAUUUCAUUAACUUUGUUAUUGAUAAAAAUAUUGAAAAAUAUUAAUGGAGUUUAAAUUUUGAUUUUAAUUUAAA
rnacentral:misc_RNA from 1 species